AUAGCUUACUUAUUGCCUGUUUACAUGCCUCAGCUCAGCAGUGCAUGUGCAGGGACUUUGGUCUGAUCCAAGGCUUUUAUUUUCACCCUAUUUCCAACCACGUUGCCUUAUUUUAUUAUGCCCAGGACCAUGUUGAACAUGCAGCAGGGGAAGAUGUUUUUGUGAAUGUCUGAGAGCCACUGCUUCCCGUGUGCAGCCAGCAGGGGAGCACACUUCUGAGGAAACUUAAUGAAGGGAUUUAAGCUGAUUCUCUUGAAGCAGAAUCACUUUGACGGCAGCAGCAAGAGUGAAUUCCGUAACAGAGACACUUUAAGGGACGAAACAUCUGACCAAUGGGAUUCCUCCAGAGCCAGAACUUGACUCGGGGCUUCACCCAGCAAGAGGUCACCAACUGGGAGUCAAUAUCACAGCAACAGCAGUCAUUAUCUGUUAACACCAUAAUCCUGCUGGGUGUGUUGACCUUUGCCCUCCAGCUGUGUUUACUUCUGUUCGUCCUGCUGAGAUGUUGGAGAAUCGGCAACAAAGUAGAAAACGCUCUCGAGCAUCAAGACACUGAAAAGCAAACUAUUGCUUUGUCAGCCAUCUAUACAGACACACAUCAGCUAUUUGAUGGUGGGAUGCCGUCACAUUUGACAUCACAUUCAGUGUUUGUAGAUGAUGAUGAAUACGAACCCUUCACAAACUCACAGUUGGUACCGUCCAUACCCUGGGACCUUGUUCAGGGCUGAGUAAAGGAAUGACUGCCUUCACGUGUAAUCUACUGUACAUGUAAUGCACUGUUUGGGAGAGGACCAAUGAUGUUUGUUUGUUGCAGCCUUGUGAAUGUGAAUACCAAAUGAUAAAUAGAUGAAUCACAGGAUUAACCAGUAAUGUAA